rnacentral:rRNA from 1 species
AUACGUAGGGUGCAAGCGUUAAUCGGAAUUACUGGGCGUAAAGCGUGCGCAGGCGGUUUUGUAAGACAGUGGUGAAAUCCCCGGGCUCAACCUGGGAACUGCCAUUGUGACUGCAAGGCUGGAGUGCGGCAGAGGGGGGUGGAAUUCCGCGUGUAGCAGUGAAAUGCGUAGAUAUGCGGAGGAACACCGAUGGCGAAGGCAAUCCCCUGGGCCUGCACUGACGCUCAUGCACGAAAGCGUGGGGAGCAGACAGGAUUAGAUACCCUGGUAGUCCACGCCCUAAACGAUGUCAACUGGUUGUUGGGGAUUUAUUUUCUCAGUAACGAAGCUAACGCGUGAAGUUGACCGCCUGGGGAGUACGGCCGCAAGGUUAAAACUCAAAUGAAUUGACGGGG